UGGGUAACCCUGCCCUUAAGUCUGGGAUACCAUUUGGAAACAGAUGCUAAUACCGGAUAAAAAGACUACUUUCGCAUGAAAGAAGUUUAAAAAAGGCGGCGUAAGCUGUCGCUAAAGGAUGGACCUGCGAUGCAUUAGCUAGUUGGUAAGGUAACGGCUUACCAAGGCGAUGAUGCAUAGCCGAGUUGAGAGACUGAUCGGCCACAUUGGGACUGAGACACGGCCCAAACUCCUACGGGAGGCAGCAGUAGGGAAUUUUCCACAAUGGACGCAAGUCUGAUGGAGCAACGCCGCGUGAGUGAAGAAGGUUUUCGGAUCGUAAAGCUCUGUUGUUGGUGAAGAAGGAUAGAGGUAGUAACUGGCCUUUAUUUGACGGUAAUCAACCAGAAAGUCACGGGCUAACUACGUGCCAGCAGCCGCGGUAAAU
rnacentral:rRNA from 1 species